GGUUAAGCGACUAAGCGUACACGGUGGAUGCCCUGGCAGUCAGAGGCGAUGAAGGGCGUGCUAAUCUGCGAUAAGCGCCGGUAAGGUGAUAUGAACCGUUAUAACCGGCGAUACCCGAAUGGGGAAAGCAUGUGCUGUGAGCUCGAUGAGUAGGGCGGGACACGUGGUAUCCUGUCUGAAUAUGGGGGGACCAUCCUCCAAGGCUAAAUACUCCUGACUGACCGAUAGUGAACCAGUACCGUGAGGGAAAGGCGAAAAGAACCCCGGCGAGGGGAGUGAAAAAGAACCUGAAACCGUGUACGUACAAGCAGUGGGAGC
rnacentral:rRNA from 1 species